rnacentral:rRNA from 1 species
GCCCUACGGGGUGCAGCAGGCGCGAAAACUUUACAAUGCUGGCAACAGCGAUAAGGGAACCUCGAGUGCCAGGUUACAAAUCUGGCUGUCGAGAUGCCUAAAAAGCAUUUCAUAGCAAGGGCCGGGCAAGACCGGUGCCAGCCGCCGCGGUAACACCGGCGGCUCGAGUGGUAACCGUUAUUAUUGGGUCUAAAGGGUCUGUAGCCGGCCGGAUAAGUCUCUUGAGAAAUCUGGCAGCUUAACUGUCAGGCUUUCAGGAGAUACUGUCUGGCUCGAGGCCGGGAGAGGUGAGAGGUACUUCAGGGGUAGGGGUGAAAUCUUGUAAUCCUUGAAGGACCACCAGUGGCGAAGGCGUCUCACCAGAACGGACCUGACGGCAAGGGACGAAAGCUAGGGGCACGAACCGGAUUAGAUACCCGGGUAGUCCUAGGCGUAAAUGAUGCGAGUUAAGUGUGGGGGCAUCUACGAGAUGGCCCUGUGCUGUAGGGUAGCCGUUAAACUCGCUGCCUGGGGAGUACGGUCGCAAGGCUGAAACUUAAAGGAAUUGGCGGGGGAGCACCACAAGAGGUGGGGGCUGCGGUUCAAUUGGACUCAACGCCGGAAAACUCAU